AAUAAUAUUUUCGGAACGUCUCUUCAGUUCGCGACCAUUCGCGACCGCCAUUGUGCUCAAGUCGUCAGAACCAAGGCCUUCUGUCAGAGAACCGAGCAAGCGUCCCAGUCCUCGAAGGUGUGGACUGACUUGGGAAUGAUCAUGGGGCUCGAGGAGGACGUGAAGGAGCAUGUCCUGCACAAAAUCAGACAUACCACGAAGAAGUGUGCCCAGACGAUGAUAAACGUGGAGCCGGCCGACAAAGACGACGACGAGCUGCUAGCUCUACUUGCCUAUGGUUGUGGAACAACCAUUGGCACCUUGGCGGAUCCGAGAAACGGGGUUCGUCAGGCAGGUGAGGAACUAUCGGUGGACGGUGUGGUGGUCUGCCAACUGCCGGCCACCAGGUUGGAGGCCGUGGCCCUAAUGACGGCCGCCCACGCUGUCUUCUACACAAAGUUCACGGGGCCCUGCAGGGCCCUGUUCGAGAU
rnacentral:lncRNA from 1 species